AAGCCACUCCAGGGUCCCCUGAACCUGCAUGUAGUGGUACCUCUCCGCCCCUGGCCCACGCUCAGACCCUAGGCUCUCAGUCGAUCAAAGCCUGCAUGUGUUAAAUGUCUGAAGUAUGGCAGGUCACCCCUGCUACUUUUGACCUUUUGCUCUGAUUUCCUUUUGAAAGAGAAAUAGCACUUAUACGAUGUAAAGCAAACAAGGCUGUAUGAGAAUUGCUUGAGCAUGUGCGGCGCGGGGAUGAUGGCGCGUUACAGGACAAUGCCCAGAGGACCUCAAGGCGCUCACUUGGUAUAAGCUGUGCUCAAAACAUCUACGGUUUUCCUGAGAGCAGGAGGGAAGCUCUAAGUUGGGCCUGGGCUCUGCCCACCGGGCUACGCUGAUGCCCUGGGGGAGGCAAAAAAGGGGUAGGCGUUGGUCCCAUUUUACAAGUGGGCAACCUUCGCUGAAGGAGGGCAUGCGUCGGCCCCAAUUCUACGCAGAUGGUGCUGCGACCAGAUAAGGUCAGGAACCCAGAAGCCAGGAUCUCAUCUGACGCAGACCCUGCGAGAGGCAGGCAGUGAGAACGCACUCCGCCCGGAGUCUGUGGCGUUGCCUCUCUGCGCCCAACAGGAAUGCGGGGAUCGCGAGUCUCCCAGAUCAGGUCUCUGCUCCGGGUCUGGGAACCCUGGGGCGUCCGAGAGCGCUGGCCCCGCCCCGCGGUUCCUCCGCGCCCCGCGAUUGGCUCCGCGGGCCGGGGCGGGGCCGGACGCCCAGCCGACGUGAUGGACGGCGUCAGGCGCCGCGGGAACCGCUUCCUGUUGUCAGUGGUCUGGAGGCCGCAGCGUCUGGUCGGAGGUUUAGGGGCUGCAGCGGCCGGGAGUGCCCCCGUCCCCCUCCCCACUCCGUUUGCAGCUGGAUGGCUUAAACGUCAGGCUGUUUGUUCUGAACAGCCCGGUACAGGAUUGGAUUCAGGCUGUAGAGAGGAGGCUGUUGGGAAUGGCUGAGAAGUCUCUAAGGAGAAGAGGUUGCUGUUUACCUAUGGAUGGAGUGUUUCAGAAGCGGGGAAGCCAAGCCAUCCAUUUCUUCGUUUAAUGUGUCAUGUGAUUCUUCUGGGGAGCUGCUGCUUGAGUGGAAAUGCUCUCAGCGGUGGAGAAUGGACUGGACCCCCGGGCUGCCAUCCCGAAAGAGAGGCCUGGAGUUGAGAAAAAGUUACAGCAGAAGCAGGCUCCGAGGAGAUCCUGCCCUUUCUAGGUCAUCUUAUUGGUGAUAAAAUGGAGAUUUACAAAAAACAACGGAGAUUGCAUGUAGGUUACCUGAGGACCAAGGAUUUCUCCAAAGAAGAUACACAAAUGACCGAUAAGUACAUAAAAAGAUGCUCAACAUCAUUAGACAAUAGACAAAGGCAAAUCAAAACCAUAAUGAGGAAAACAGAAGUAGAGUCACCACGGACAUAGAAAACAAACUCAUGGUUACUGGGGACAGGAUGUGGGAGGGAUAAAUUGGGAGAUUGGG